UACAGAGGGGGCAAGCGUUGUUCGGAAUUACUGGGCGUAAAGGGCGCGUAGGCGGCCUGUUAAGUCGAACGUGAAAUCCCCGGGCUCAACCCGGGAACUGCGUCCGAUACUGGCAGGCUUGAAUCCGGGAGAGGGAUGCGGAAUUCCAGGUGUAGCGGUGAAAUGCGUAGAUAUCUGGAGGAACACCGGUGGCGAAGGCGGCAUCCUGGACCGGCAUUGACGCGUAAGGCGCGAAAGCCAGGGGAGCAAACGGG
rnacentral:rRNA from 1 species